UACGGAGGGUGCGAGCGUUGUCCGGAAUCAUUGGGCGUAAGGCGCGUGUAGGCGGCCAGAAAAGUCCGCUGUGAAAACUCGAGGCUCAACUUCGAGCUGUCGGUGGAAACUUUCUGGCUAGAGUCCGGAAGAGGAGAAUGGAAUUCCUGGUGUAGCGGUGAAAUGCGCAGAUAUCAGGAAGAACACCCGUGGCGAAGGCGGUUCUCUGGGACGGUACUGACGCUGAGACGCGAAAGCGUGGGGAGCGAACAGG
rnacentral:rRNA from 1 species